rnacentral:rRNA from 1 species
UUAGGGCACGACACCGGAGAGGGAGCCUGAGAACGGCUACCACAUCCAAGGAUGGCAGCAGGCGCGCAAAUUACCCAAUCCCAACACGGGGAGGUAGUGACAAUAAAUAACAAUACGGGGUUCUUAUGGAUCUCGUAAUUGGAAUGAGUACAAUUUAAAUCUCUUAACGAGGAACAAUUGGAGGGCAAGUCUGGUGCCAGCAGCCGCGGGUAAUUCCAGCUCCAAUAGAGUAUAUUAAAGUUGUUGCAGUUAAAAAGCUCGUAGUUGAAUUUCGGGAUCAAUUUAUCGGUCGUGCCAAUGGUAUGAACUGGUACAAUUGGUUUCUCCCUUCUGACGAAGCAUGAUGUCAUUAAUUUGGUGUCGUGGGGAAUCAGGACUGUUACUUUGAAAAAAUUAGAGUGUUUAAAGCAAGCAUUAGCUUGAAUACAUUAGCAUGGAAUAAUGAAAUAGGACGUUUGAUCCUAUUUUGUUGGUUUCUAGGAUCGACGUAAUGAUUAAUAGGGAUAGUUGGGGGCAUUAGUAUUCAAUUGUCAGAGGUGAAAUUCUUGGAUUUAUUGAAGACUAACUACUGCGAAAGCAUUUGCCAAGGAUGUUUUCAUUAAUCAAGAACGAAAGUUAGGGGAUCGAAGACNAUCAGAUACCGUCGUANUCUUAACCAUAAACUAUGCCGACUACGGAUCGGAUGAUGUUAAUUUUUUUAAUGACUCA